GUUGUUUUUUAUUUUUAUUUUUUUAUAUUUUUAUUCCACAGUAGGGUUGGGUUUCACAACUGGGUUUCCCUUCGGAAAUAUCUCACCGUUUCACCAUCUCUCUUCAGCCGUGAUUGCCAUCCACCUCCUCCAUAUGCACGUUCAGCCGGUUGAUGCUCCAUCUGUCUCCGUUGUCAUCGUCGCUGCAAUGUUCGACCGCCCCUUGUUGUAGUCUCGUCGCCGAUUUGAUGAAGCCGGCCACCCGGUUCGAGGGGUCACCGACUGGUGGUUUGGUGGGGGAUAGGGUUCCGGACUCCAAAAGGUUCUCUGUUAUUUCCAGUUGCUGGUGUGGUCAUUGCAGUGUGCAUUUGGGGGUAUUCAUUUGUAUAUUUUUUGAGUGUAUAUGCUGCGUUAUUAAUCAAGGUUUGUGUGUUUCAACUGUGUAAUAGAGAGCGAACUAUUGUGCAACUGGGGCACUCUACUGUAUUCCUUAUUUCAACAACAUUAUUGGUUCACAUAUUUUAAGGAAAAGCCAAUGUUCAUGGAUUGAAAA